UCAUAGCUACAAUUUUUUUUAGUUACCUCGAACCAAGUUAAUAGUGCAGUGUACGAUCAGUUAAUGAUUCUGAGAGAAACAUCUUCAGGGAGUUGCAACCCAGGAAUGGUCAGCCGUGUUUAUUUAUAGCUAAUUCUACUCCACCACCACCACCACCAUCAUCUUCUUGUACCUCAAUUAGGGUAUGAGGCUUACUGCAAAUUUCUCUAAAAAUGAAUGCAGGUUCUUUUGGAGAAGGAAUUGCUGCUUCAGAACUACUCAACAUGAAAACAACAGCUAACAUGGAGGGUCUGUCCAUAGCAUUUUCUUGCACACACAAGAGCCCGAUUUGAAUGCAUUUCAAGACUUCUUGAGGGUGAUAUAACUCCUGCAAUGAUGAAUCAACUAUCUCCAACGCUCUCUCUUCUCUCCAUAGCUCCCACACCUGUGUGGUUCAUAGCAUUAACAAACAAGAGGAGAUGAUAGUCAACAUCAAAUUGUAUCUAUUGUAGUCAGUACUGCUAGAAGUCUCUUACAUGCCCAAUCAAGGUCAAGGAAGAAUCCUGUAGAUUAUAUCUGUUGUUCCUCUUGCCACUUACAAUCUCUAAUAACAUAACCCCGAAACUAAACACAUCUGAUUUCACCGAAAUUUUGCCAAACGCAGCAUACUCUGGUGACAUGUAUCCACUGCAAAGGAAAAAUAGGCAGAUAGUCCUUGAUGUUAACUAAAUUUUAUACUCAUCAUUCAUGAAUAUUAUGUCAAUCUCUCUUUUCAGAUGUGCUGCUGUACUUACAAUGUUCCCAUAACUCUACGUGUCUCGUCUUGUAUUUGGUCCCUUCCAAAUAUUCUAGCCAUUCCAAAAUCUGAGAUUUUUGGGGUCAUCUCUGCAUCUAAUAGAAUGUUGCUACAUUUCAAGUCCCUGUGAAUGAUUCUCAACCUUGAGUCCUGGUGAAGAUAUAGAAUCCCACGAGCGAUGCCAACUAUAAUGACAAACCGUGUGCUCCAAUCCAGGAACAGUUCUCUUGUUUCAUCUGUAAAAGAAGUUUCAAGUUUUUCAUUUGAACAAGCGUUAAGAUGUAGUCAAUAUGAAAAGGCUUACCAAAAAGAAAUGAGUCUAAGCUUUUGUUUGGCAAGUAUUCGUAAAUUAGCAUCGGUUCUCCUCCCUGAAUGCAACAGCCUACAAGUUUCACAAGAUUCCUGUGUUGAAGCUUCCCAAUUACCUUGACUUCAUUUGUAAAUUCUUCUAUUCCUUGUCCUGAAUUUUUUGAGAGUCUUUUGACAGCAAUCUCCUCCCCAUUAGGUAGCUGACCCUAACAUCACUCUGGCUAAUCAAUCCAAAGUUCAAACACAAUUGAAGAGAGAAUCAACAACUAAUUUCUGAGAUGUUUCAUAAAGAACUACCUUGUAAACUGAACCAAAACCACCUUCCCCAAGUUUGUUAUCUGGGGAGAAGUUUUUUGUGGCAGCAGAUAGUGUGCUGAGCUUGAAGAAAUCCAAGUCUACAUCAUUGCCACUUCUCCGGAGCUCGUUUGCCACCCAAGUCUCUUAAUUAGUAGAAUUUUCAAUGACGGGAAACAGUAAGUGAAUGCCUUCCUCAAAACAAUUCUUAGAACAAAAAGUGUUUAAAGCGGCUGAAAACAAUAGGACAAAUAUAAGCAGAACUGCUAAAAUCUCCAAGGUAUUCGUUCUGUCGAUUGUCAAAGAAGAUACACUAACAGCAUCACCAUAUGAAAUACUAUUGGGGUGGAGCUUAUCAGCUAUUAUUUUUAUGGAUGGUUGCUUUAUCAGUUUAUCUUCCUUGUGUUGCGAGGAUUGCUUUGUCUUACCUUUUUCUCCUCUCUUCCUGAGCCACAAAUAACCAAGCACGCUAAUGAUCAACGAUGUUGAUAAAACAGCUGGAAUAAGAACGGUCAGCAACCCCUUUUCAUGAGAACCUUUUGAUUUCCUUGCAUUCUCAGCUGCAUGAGAGUGAGAAGAGUACAGAGAACUUGAAAUUUUUGUUACGAAUGGUAACCGAAUAGAUGGUAACUGAAACAGAACCAAAACAAUUCUUCGCCUACUGAUAUUAUUGUUUAUGAGAAAUGUUUCAGGAAAGUAUUGCUUUUUAUUUGAAAAUUUAGAGCAAAGCAAGAAGUACCUAAUUCAAGCGCAUCAACACGAACAUACAGAUCAUAUCUGUCAUUCCUAUCAUAUGUUGUGUCCAUUAAUUCUCCAUGCCAUGUAAUGCAGCCCCUUGCUAUUCCUGGAGCAUCUACAAUUGCAUACGCAGAGCAUGAGCAAUUCAUCUUGCAUUGCUUUUCGCAGUUUGCACGACUCAUACUUGUGUUCACCCAAACUGCAAAUGAAGAAUCAGGAAGUAAUACUUUGUCCACCUUCACAAACCCUUCUCCAGGAUCGCACACUGAGGAGGAUUCUAGUCCCUUGCUGACACAACCACCAGACCCAUCUCUCAGAUACCAGUUCCUUGCAUCCUUGAGUUCAUAUCCAGGCAAACAAGCGCACUCAUACCUGGUAAUGUCAACAGGUUCACACGUGCUAUAAG
rnacentral:lncRNA from 1 species